AAUUAAGUUGUUCUCUAAGGACAAAACCAUGAAAAGAACGACUAACUAAUUGAUCUCUGAUUGGUCCCAUCCGAAACUGAGCCCAGCACUAGCUGUUAAGGAUAAUGACAAAUUAGACCAGGCUCUGGUGCUAUGAAGAAAAAGGAAAAAUGAAGCUGAGGUAUAUGUAGUUUUAUAACAAUUUUAGUCUUGCGGACGCUAUGAAUUUGCAUCUUCUAAACCAUUAUCUGGUCUCCACUUGCACUUCAUUAUCUCCAAGGAUAACAACUACCUGAUUUCUUUGACACAAGUCU
rnacentral:lncRNA from 1 species